rnacentral:lncRNA from 1 species
AGAUGCACUGACUCACACCUGGACAAUGGCCUAUAGAGGGGAGCCUCCUUGUCCUUCUGCCUCGCUCUGUGCCUGCACCAUGCUGAGACUUUGCCUUUCUCUCAUUCUUCACAGUGCUGUCAGAGUCCCAGGAAGCCCACCACAACUGGAUCGAUGGUCUUUUUCAGAGGAAUCCAGGUGUGGAUGGUGAAGGACGUGCAAACACCAAGAAAGUUAAAAAUGCACAGAAGUACUACCUGGACGUUACUAUAGCCAUCUCAGUUACCCUAUCGGUAGUGAUGGUUCUGUGCUGUCUUAUUUGGUGGUGGAGGAACAGAAAGCAGCAACAAUCUGAAGAUGAGGAAGCCCAGGAUGAUACCAGCAGCUACAGCUCAGAGUCAGAUGAACAGCCUGCCUACCUUGAGAGGCCUGACAGACAGAAAGGCAAGACAGUAGCGGGGCUCAGCUGCCUCCGCCUUGUCCAUGGCUCACACCAGCUCCUGGGGCUCCAUGCAACUGGGGAAUUUCUGACAGGUGCAGCAGCCCCCAGACCAACCGGGCAUCAACGCCGCCCCCCCGUCCUCCUCCACCAUCCUUUGGGGGACAGAAAGAACCUGCCCAGGGUGAAGGCUUGCAGUCAUCGGCCAGCACUGAAGAAACAGCUGACAGGCAGAUGAGCGACAGGCCCAGCAGCCGCCCUCUUUUGUCUGGGUAUCUUCAACGCCGCUUCCCCCCACUACCCCCCAUACAUCCUUCUUGGUGGCUCGCGGGAGCGGUCCCCAUCUUC